GCCAUGGGCAGGUUGAAGGUUGGGUAACACUAACUGGAGGACCGAACCGACUAAUGUUGAAAAAUUAGCGGAUGACUUGUGGCUGGGGGUGAAAGGCCAAUCAAACCGGGAGAUAGCUGGUUCUCCCCGAAAGCUAUUUAGGUAGCGCCUCGUGAAUUCAUCUCCGGGGGUAGAGCACUGUUUCGGCAAGGGGGUCAUCCCGACUUACCAACCCGAUGCAAACUGCGAAUACCGGAGAAUGUUAUCACGGGAGACACACGGCGGGUGCUAACGUCCGUCGUGAAGAGGGAAACAACCCAGACCGCCAGCUAAGGUCCCAAAGUCAUGGUUAAGUGGGAAACGAUGUGGGAAGGCCCAGACAGCCAGGAUGUUGGCUUAGAAGCAGCCAUCAUUUAAAGAAAGCGUAAUAGCUCACUGGUCGAGUCGGCCUGCGCGGAAGAUGUAACGGGGCUAAACCAUGCACCGAAGCUGCGGCAGCGACACUAUGUGUUGUUGGGUAGGGGAGCGUUCUGUAAGCCUGUGAAGGUGGCCUGUGAGGGUUGCUGGAGGUAUCAGAAGUGCGAAUGCUGACAUAAGUAACGAUAAAGCGGGUGAAAAGCCCGCUCGCCGGAAGACCAAGGGUUCCUGUCCAACGUUAAUCGGGGCAGGGUGAGUCGACCCCUAAGGCGAGGCCGAAAGGCGUAGUCGAUGGGAAACAGGUUAAUAUUCCUGUACUUGGUGUUACUGCGAAGGGGGGACGGAGAAGGCUAUGUUGGCCGGGCGACGGUUGUCCCGGUUUAAGCGUGUAGGCUGGUUUUCCAGGCAAAUCCGGAAAACCAAGGCUGAGGCGUGAUGACGAGGCACUACGGUGCUGAAGUGACAAAUGCCCUGCUUCCAGGAAAAGCCUCUAAGCAUCAGGUAACAUCAAAUCGUACCCCAAACCGACACAGGUGGUCAGGUAGAGAAUACCAAGGCGCUUGAGAGAACUCGGGUGAAGGAACUAGGCAAAAUGGUGCCGUAACUUCGGGAGAAGGCACGCUGAUAUGUAGGUGAAGCGACUUGCUCGUGGAGCUGAAAUCAGUCGAAGAUACCAGCUGGCUGCAACUGUUUAUUAAAAACACAGCACUGUGCAAACACGAAAGUGGACGUAUACGGUGUGACGCCUGCCCGGUGCCGGAAGGUUAAUUGAUGGGGUUAGCGGUAACGCGAAGCUCUUGAUCGAAGCCCCGGUAAACGGCGGCCGUAACUAUAACGGUCCUAAGGUAGCGAAAUUCCUUGUCGGGUAAGUUCCGACCUGCACGAAUGGCGUAAUGAUGGCCAGGCUGUCUCCACCCGAGACUCAGUGAAAUUGAACUCGCUGUGAAGAUGCAGUGUACCCGCGGCAAGACGGAAAGACCCCGUGAACCUUUACUAUAGCUUGACACUGAACAUUGAGCCUUGAUGUGUAGGAUAGGUGGGAGGCUUUGAAGUGUGGACGCCAGUCUGCAUGGAGCCGACCUUGAAAUACCACCCUUUAAUGUUUGAUGUUCUAACGUUGGCCCCUAAUCGGGGUUGCGGACAGUGUCUGGUGGGUAGUUUGACUGGGGCGGUCUCCUCCUAAAGAGUAACGGAGGAGCACGAAGGUUGGCUAAUCCUGGUCGGACAUCAGGAGGUUAGUGCAAUGGCAUAAGCCAGCUUGACUGCGAGCGUGACGGCGCGAGCAGGUGCGAAAGCAGGUCAUAGUGAUCCGGUGGUUCUGAAUGGAAGGGCCAUCGCUCAACGGAUAAAAGGUACUCCGGGGAUAACAGGCUGAUACCGCCCAAGAGUUCAUAUCGACGGCGGUGUUUGGCACCUCGAUGUCGGCUCAUCACAUCCUGGGGCUGAAGUAGGUCCCAAGGGUAUGGCUGUUCGCCAUUUAAAGUGGUACGCGAGCUGGGUUUAGAACGUCGUGAGACAGUUCGGUCCCUAUCUGCCGUGGGCGCUGGAGAACUGAGGGGGGCUGCUCCUAGU
rnacentral:rRNA from 1 species